AACGAACGCUGGCGGCAUGCCUAACACAUGCAAGUCGAACGGUGUUCCCGCUUCGGCGGGGGCAUAGUGGCGCACGGGUGAGUAACGCGUGGGAACCUGCCCCGUGGUACGGAACAACUCCGGGAAACUGGAGCUAAUACCGUAUGUGUCCCCUGGGACAAAGAUUGCAUCGCCAUGGGAGGGGCCCGCGUAGGAUUAGGUAGUUGGCGGGGUAACGGCCCACCAAGCCCGCGAUCCUUAGCUGGUCUGAGAGGAUGAUCAGCCACACUGGGACUGAGACACGGCCCAGACUCCUACGGGAGGCAGCAGUGGGGAAUAUUGGACGAUGGGCGCAAGCCUGAUCCAGCAAUGCCGCGUGAGUGAUGAAGGCCUUCGGGUUGUAAAGCUCUUUCGCACGCGACGAUGAUGACGGUAGCGUGAGAAGAAGCCCCGGCUAACUUCGUGCCAGCAGCCGCAGUAA
rnacentral:rRNA from 1 species